GAUGAAGAACGUAGCGAAAUGCGAUAAGUAGUGUGAAUUGCAGAAUUUAGUGAAUCAUCGAAUUUUUGAACGCACAUUGCGCCCUUUGGUAUUCCUUAGGGCAUGCCUGUUCGAGCGUCAUCUACACCCUCAAGCACAGCUUGGUGAUGGGCGCCUGUCCCGCCCCCCACGGGGGCGCGGACUCGCCUCGAAUGCAUUGGCGGCCGGCGACCUGGCUUCGAGCGCAGCAGAAACGCGUACUCGGGGACCGGGCGCCCGCUCCCAGAAGCCAACCCACCCAGUUUGACCUCGGAUCAGGUAGGGAUACCCGCUGAACUUAAGCAUAUCAAUAAGCGGAGGA
rnacentral:misc_RNA from 1 species